GUAGGGCUUGGGUUGAUUUGAAAAUAUAGAAAUGAGUAGAAAUUCAUGAGGAAUAAAGACAACUAGAGUAUGUAAACAAAUAUGAUAGGAAGCAAAAUAAUGCAAGACAAACUUGUAAAUGCUACCUGUCAACUGUGUUUUCUGGAAAGUUGAAGAAAUUGAUAUUGUUUGUUUAUGUUUUGGUGUAGGGGAAUUUCAACCCAUAUCAUAUUGAAUUUUACUUGUGUGAGGCAGCAUCAUACUUAGGGUUGAUUUGCAUGAGACAAUUCAAAGCAGCAACAUUGUUGGAACUCAUUAAAUUUUAUUGAUUGAUUCACUGGAAGCAAACACUCAAGCAUACAGAAUGUAUGGGCCCAAAAUAACUUUAAACCCAGAGGUUUAAAGUUGUAAACCAUAUAGGCCUUUGACUCCAAAUUUAAAACUGCACUAAGCUUUCGCACACUAGUUGGAGAUGGCUUUGUGGAUCAUUUUUCUCUUUCCACUUGAUAUAGGUCUGCAUCUUCAAAAAGAUUUAGGGCCAUUUAAUCCUUUUCACUACUUCCUCCUGUGUCAUUCUAGGUUUGCUCUCACUUUCUGAUCUCUUAUGUAGAAAGAGAUG
rnacentral:misc_RNA from 1 species